GGAGGAGUUUUAAGGAAAGGUGUGAGCUUUCCAAAUGUGCAAGCUUAGCAAGAUGUCAAAGCUGCAAGCUUAGCAAAGUGCGAGCUGUUCAAGACACCUGUUGAAGACAAUAUGCAAAGAUGUGAGUCUGUCAAAGGUGUGAGUUCAGCAACAUGUGGAAGCUCAAUGUGUGUUGUAUAGUUGCAAGCCUAUUGAAGACAGUAAGCAAAGUGUGAGCUUGUCGAAUUGCAAGCCAAAAUGGCAGAAUGAAGGCAAGCAA
rnacentral:lncRNA from 1 species